AUACGGAGGGUGCGAGCGUUAAUCGGAAUUACUGGGCGUAAAGCGUACGUAGGCGGUUGGUUAAGUUAGAUGUGAAAGCCCCGGGCUUAACCUGGGAACUGCAUUUAAAACUGGCGAACUAGAGUUGAGUAGAGGGGAGUGGAAUUUCAGGUGUAGAGGUGAAAUGCGUAGAGAUCGGAAGGAACAACAGUGGCGAAGGCGACUCCCUGGACUCGAACUGACGCUGAGGUACGAAAGCGUGGGUAGCAAACGGGAUUAGAUACCCUAGUAGUCC
rnacentral:rRNA from 1 species